rnacentral:misc_RNA from 1 species
GGUGAAGAACGCAGCGAAAUGCGAUAAGUAAUGUGAAUUGCAGAAUUCAGUGAAUCAUCGAAUCUUUGAACGCACAUUGCGCCCUCUGGUAUUCCGGGGGGCAUGCCUGUUCGAGCGUCAUUAUAACCACUCAAGCUCUCGCUUGGUAUUGGGGUUCGCGGUUCCGCGGCCCCUAAAAUCAGUGGCGGUGCCUGUCGGCUCUACGCGUAGUAAUACUCCUCGCGAUUGAGUCCGGUAGGUCUACUUGCCAGCAACCCCCAAUUUUUACAGGUUGACCUCGGAUCAGGUAGGGAUACCCGCUGAACUUAAGCAUAUCAAUAAGCGGAGGA